rnacentral:rRNA from 1 species
UCUGAUGCAGCACGCCGCGUGGAGGAUGACGCAUUUCGGUGUGUAAACUCCUUUUAUAAGGGAAGAUAAUGACGGUACCUUAUGAAUAAGCACCGGCUAACUCCGUGCCAGCAGCCGCGGUAAUACGGAGGGUGCAAGCGUUACUCGGAAUCACUGGGCGUAAAGGAUGCGUAGGCUGGAAAUCAAGUCGAGAGUGAAAUCCAACGGCUCAACCGUUGAACUGCUCUCGAAACUGGUUACCUAGAAUAUGGGAGAGGUAGAUGGAAUUGGUGGUGUAGGGGUAAAAUCCGUAGAUAUCACCAGGAAUACCGAUUGCGAAGGCGAUCUACUGGAACAUUAUUGACGCUGAGGCAUGAAAGCGUGGGGAGCAAACAGGAUUAGAUACCCUGGUAGUCCACGCCCUAAACGAUGCACACUAGUUGUUGCGAUGCUAGUCAUUGCAGUAAUGCACUUAACAGAUUAAGUGUGCCGCCUGGGGAGUACGGUCGCAAGAUUAAAACUCAAAGGAAUAGACGGGGACCCGCACAAGCGGUGGAGCAUGUGGUUUAAUUCGAAGAUACACGAAGAACCUUACCUGGCCUUGAUAUCCUAAGAAUCCUUUAGAGAUAAGGGAGUGCUAGUUUACUAGAACUUAGAGACAGGUGCUGCACGGCUGUCGUCAGCUCGUGUCGUGAGAUGUUGGGUUAAGUCCCGCAACGAGCGCAACCCUCGUGAUUAGUUGCUAACAGUUCGGCUGAGCACUCUAAUCAGACUGCCUUCGCAAGGAGGAGGAAGGUGAGGACGACGUCAAGUCAUCAUGGCCCUUAUGGCCAGGGCUACACACGUGCUACAAUGGCUAGGACAAAGAGACGCGAUACUGCGAAGUGGAGCAAAUCUUAAAACCUAGUCUCAGUUCGGAUUGGAGUCUGCAACUCGACUCCAUGAAGCUGGAAUCGCUAGUAAUCGUAGAUCAGAUAUGCUACGGUGAAUACGUUCCCGGUCUUGUACUCACCGCCCGUCACACCAUGGGAGUUGAUUCACCCGAAGCCGGAAUACUAAACUAGUACGACACGUGGUCAGCGACUGGGGU